AACCUAGAGGCGCUCCCGCGCGAGCCCCGCCGCUUCCAGUCCGCCCUCGCCCGGCCCGGCGCAGGUCGCUCCCUCCUCCCAGCCGCGUCCGCACUUUUCCCCCGGCAGGGGGCCCAGGUCGAGCUGGGCCAAUCCCGCGCGCGCCGCGCAGGACCCCUCCCGGAGGCCCGGGGCGCGGUGGCUUCCCUUCGUCCAAACGGGGGGUGUCUCCUCCAUCACCCCAGCCGCAGCUUCCCAGCCGGAGUCGGGCUGCCGGACGAGGGAGGCGCGCUCCUCUGCGGCCGGGGUCUGGGGGGUGCCAGCGCGCCCCCGAGUGAGCGGUUGGGGACGGCGCGGAGCCGCCGACCCGCCGCGCGCCCUCCGGUCCCGGAGCGGCCCCAGCCUGCGCCCCCGCGGGCCCCGCACCUCGCCUGGGCCCUGCCCUGUCCUGCCGCGUGGCGGCCUCUCCGCACCCCGAGUCCCGGGGCCGACAUGCAGACUCUCACGGUUUUGAAGAAGAAAACUCUAGGGCAGGAAAGUGGAGGGAGCCUGCAGCAGAGACGGGAAUGGAAUGAUCACUUCAGCUGCUGUGAAGUCAAGUGGGCCAAGAGAUGAGCAGCCAAGCACAGCAAAACUUCAUUUCAUCCCCACCUACUUAUGAAUGGAAAACAUCAUAUGGACUUGGGCAUCAGGUAGACCUGGUUUGAAUACUAGUUAUUUCUCUCAAUUACUAGUUGUGUGGCCUAGGGCCAGCCACUUAAAUUGCCUUCUUUCUGUAUGUUCAAAAAAUGGAUUAUCGGGC
rnacentral:lncRNA from 1 species